UAGGGAAUCUUCGGCAAUGGACGAAAGUCUGACCGAGCAACGCCGCGUGAGUGAAGAAGGUUUUCGGAUCGUAAAACUCUGUUGUUAGAGAAGAACAAGGACGUUAGUAACUGAACGUCCCCUGACGGUAUCUAACCAGAAAGCCACGGCUAACUACGUGCCAGCAGCCGCGGUAAUACGUAGGUGGCAAGCGUUGUCCGGAUUUAUUGGGCGUAAAGCGAGCGCAGGCGGUUUCUUAAGUCUGAUGUGAAAGCCCCCGGCUCAACCGGGGAGGGUCAUUGGAAACUGGGAGACUUGAGUGCAGAAGAGGAGAGUGGAAUUCCAUGUGUAGCGGUGAAAUGCGUAGAUAUAUGGAGGAACACCAGUGGCGAAGGCGGCUCUCGGGUCUGUAACUGACGCUGAGGCUCGAAAGCGUGGGGAGCAAACAGG
rnacentral:rRNA from 1 species